rnacentral:tRNA from 1 species
AAAGAACCAUCUCACUCUUGUAGCUAAACCCCAAAGC